rnacentral:lncRNA from 1 species
UUUACCCAUCAAACUUCACCAAGCUUGAUCUUAACGAUAUCAAUUCCUUCACCAAGGAACUUCUUUUCUAAAAAGAAUGUCUUAAGAUUUAUGAACAUCUCAUGUCAUCAAGAAGGUAGAAAAAAUAUUCUUAAAAAUAAUAUUUAUCAAAUCAAGAUCCAAGCUAGUCGAUUUGUGAAUAUUUCACAUAAGUUUGACACUCCAAACCCUAA